rnacentral:rRNA from 1 species
UAUUAGAUAAAAAGCCAGUUCAUGCUUUUACAGUAUGAAAAUUGGUGAUUUAUAAUAACUUAGCAAAUCGCAAAGUGAAAACAGGCGAUAAAUCAUUCAAGUUUCUGACCUAUCAGCUUUCGACGGUAUGGUAUUGGCUUACCGUGGCAGUGACGGUUAACGGGGGAUUAGGGUUCGAUUCCGGAGAGGGAGCCUGAGAAACGGCUACCACAUCUAAGGAAGGCAGCAGGCGCGCAAAUUACCCAAUUCUAACAGUUUGAGAGAGGUAGUAACAAGAAAUAACAAUACAAGGCAGUUAAAAUGCUUUGUAAUUGGAAUGAUAGAAAUUUAAACCCUUUUUAAAGUAUCAAUUGGAGGGCAAGUCUGGUGCCAGCAGCCGCGGUAAUUCCAGCUCCAAUAGCGUAUAUUAAAAUUGUUGCAGUUAAAAAGCUCGUAGUUGAAGUUCUGCUGAAAGUAACCGGUCUGCUUUUAAUAAAAGUGGUAUCUUGGUAUGUAUUUAGCAAUGAUGUCCUUUGAAGUGUUUUUUACUUUAUUGUAAUAAAGCAUAUUCAGGACUUUUACUUUGAGAAAAUUAGAGUGUUUCUAGCAGGCUAACGCUUUGAAUACUGCAGCAUGGAAAUAAUAAGA